AGCGCAAUCGCCACUCCCAGGAGACAGCAGAGCGAGCUGAGUGUCUCCCGUACAAGUGGGCAAGGAGAUUAUUAAUGGGCACCGACACGGGCCGCUUCCCCACCUUGCAAAUAUUUUGGGUGUGGGAAUAAUAUUGUCCUGCUGCUCUGCGGAUGCCAAGCUCAGAGGCAAGCGCUUGCAAGAGCUCUGGGGAGGUGCAACUCAUCUCGUCACCCCAACCGUCUCAUGACUGACUGACCGACUGACCCUUCUGCCUCCUAAUGGGCAAGGCCAACCGAAGUCCAGGUCAGCAUCGGGGAAAGGAGGGACAAAUCAAAUGCUGGCUCUAAUAGACCUUUUAAAAAACCUGCAUGUACAGGGCCAGUGCUGGGCUUCAGCUUAUAAGGAUGCCGGCAAAGUGCUGCCUCUUUUAAAAAGUUGAAUCCAGACUGUUAGACACCAGCAAGAUCCCUCUGGUAUUGGAAUCUGACCAAGCACAAAACAUCUUCAGCCUUCCCGGCAAUGCACAGAUGGCUGCAGAUGCUGAUGCUGUGGCUAGCCAGCUUUUUCACAGGAAAGGCCAGUUUGUCAUGCAAGCCACACUCCUCAGAUAAAACCCUACUCCCCAACAAGGAGCUGUGGAAAAGGCCCGGAGGUGAAGAGCUCAAGCAGAUAAGCUCCCAUAACUCCAAGUUUCGCAGUUGGAUUCUCAAGCCCAUACACACGUACAUACUCAAGCCCAGUGCACACCCAUUGUCCCCCAAACUCAGAAUUGCCAGGAUCACUCUGAAAAAAGCAGGCCUAGGAGUUUAAGGUGGAUUGUGGGGAAACUCCAUUCUGACCCUUAAAUGAAUACGCUGCUCUUUGAUUAGCUGAAAUAUAUAAUAGGCAUGCUCUGUAAAGCAGUUAGCAAUCAAUGUGUCAGCAACGGUACAGGGAAACAAUUGUCAUCCUACUUGCUCGUACAUCCAGACACCAAAGUCGGUACAAUAGUGAUAUAGUCAUCACAGUAAAAUGGCCAUAAAAUCUAUGGCUAUUUUUACAAGGCAUGUCUUGGUUUUGCCUCUGCACUUAUAACAAGAGAUAGUAUUUCCUCCUUCUGACAUUACACAUAAAUGUGCAUUGGGGUGAAAUUCACCUCUGUGCCAAGGAGGCCACCACCAGGGCGUAUGCACCACUUAAGAACUCAAAACAGAACAUAUGGGAUGCACAGGCCUUGUGCUAAGAUUCUGCACAGGGAUGUAUUUCACCCUUAGGUGAUGGCUACACUGGAGAUGUAAUUUCCAGCUCAAGUAGACAGUCCCACGCUAGCUGUGAUUGAGCUAGUGGCUAAAAAUAGAAGCAUAGGCUCUGUGGCACUGCCCAAGUACAAUCCCAUCUGAAACCCUACUGGACAUUUGUUGCAAAAAACCCAAACAUGAAACUAAUCAAAGUUUUUUAUUAUCCUCAGAAAAUUCUGGUUCUCCAAGACAGCCCCACCACCCUUGAUGGCACAGAGUCCAACUCCGUUUGGGAGAAAAAAGAAACUGAAGGUUAAAGAGUUUGACACAAUUACACAGUUUUAGAGGCUUUGUACACUGUAGAAAGCAGCAUACAUUUCCAAAAAUACAUACAUAGAUCAUACAAACAACUAUAGACUAAACCACCUUCAACCAUGUAUGUCUGUUUAAAAAAAAAUUCUAGGGUUACAAGUCCACAGAAAAAAAUCCUCUACCAUCUGCACUGGAGUCCUGCUCAAAUGACUAUGGCGUAAACAAACCCAGCCAAAGCAAGAAUCCUGGGGGUGACUCAUAGAUUUAAAGGUCAGAAGGGAACAUCGUGAUCUCCUGCACAUCACAGGCGACAGAACCGCACCCACCCACUCUUGUAAUAGACCCCUCACCUCUGGCUCAGUUACUGAACUCCUCAAAUCAUGGUUUAAAGACUUCAAGUUACAGAGAAUUCACCAUUUACACAAGUUUAAACCUGCAAGUGACCCAUGCCCCAUGCUGCAGAGGAAGGUGAAAAAACCCCAGGGACAAUGAGAGGUGGUAAGAUCCUCUUCUGGGAGCAUAUGAUAGUAAUGUCAUUCUGGAAGAAGCUCAGAGAAAGCGGUAACUUCUGAUUACUACAUAAUGUGAGUAAUUCUCAGGAAAAAUGAAUCCUGGGUGCCUGAAUCAUAGCACAGCGGGGGAAAUAACAUACUCCGAAAAUGGUAAGGUGGAAAGCCCUAAACACAGAGGAACCACCCAUGAUCUCAGUGUGUGGGACAUCACAGAAAGGCAUCAGAGUGACUCUGCAUGCUGCUCCUCUCAGAUGGCAGAAAUGCUGGGUGGCAGGCUGGGAGAACCCGCCCACCUUUUAGGGGAUGCACAGGGAGUCCAUCUGAUACUACAGCCAAUGAGCUGCCGGUGGCAGUGGGUUACUGAAUAGCUGCUCCUCACCAAGACACCAGGUUAGACGGGCAGAAAGAUUCCUCCGGCCCCUCUUAGAUGUCCUGCAUAAAGGCAGUUCAUUUGGGGGCCUUGUCUCCGUUGGGGAUUUGUUCUGAUUUCAGCCCCCAGGAGAGCUGCAUCAAUUCAAACCGCUAGCUUAAACAGGGUAAACCACUCUGCUCCGCCAUUGGCACUGAUGCAGCUUGGCCUGAGAUGCUUCACCGUAGCAAAAAGUGGCUCUGCCUGUCCACACUAGGGAUUUGAACGAGGGUGCCGAUACAUAGGUGGCUGGCCAUCAAAAGGUGUGAUCAGCACAAAUCCCCAUUGGGGGCAAGACCUUGGGCUUUGUACGUGUUGGGGGAAAGAGGGCAGCAUUUGGCCCUGAGAAAGAUUUUCCAUCCAAUGAAAGCCCUGAUUCAGCAAGGUAUUUAAGCCUAUGCCUAGCACAUGGGCAGUCCCAUGGAUUUCAAUUCUCCUGGCUUAGUACAGGGUCUCUAAAACAUCAAUGAACCUGUUCACAUACUUAAAGUUAGGCAUGUGCUUAAGCACCUUGCUGACUUGGGGCCUAAAUACCAGUACAGAAAUGCUUGAGGGAGUAUGGUGCCCAUUUGCUUAUAUAACAUUUAAGCAUGAGAUUUUCCCCUGACUGACUGCCCAGAGAAACAGAGCACUCUCCCUUUCUGAACAGCAUCGGGAUUAUCUGCCUCUUCCCUACUCUGAUUGUUUUUACAUUACAUUACCCAAUACACUAUUCUGCUCCCUGGGUUUUUUUGUUUUUUUUUUCAAUAGAGCUCAAAUUUUUUAUUACAGUAUUCAGAUUUUUAAAUACAACUACUUCCAUUGUCAAGAAGCUCACAAGCGCCACAAAUUACGUACAAGAAUUUUAUUCAUACCAUAACUCUGUUGCAUCAUCCAUAUCAAAUAUUACAAUAAUCUUUCAAAUGGAAUAGACUGUUCCCCUUACAUCAAAGGAAUUCUGCUGUUAGAUGGUUACAUGUCUUUUCAGAUUAUUUACAACAGAAUUGUAAUUCAAAUCGGGUUUUCAUUAUCUUUAAAAGUUCAUAGCAAAGUAUCGGUUUUGUAUGUGUGUAUAUUUAACUCUCAGCAGCGAGAUUAAUACACUCAAUGUUUAAGUAAUGCUGAAAUGUUUCCUGCAUUUUAUGCCAAACACUCACAAAAUUUUACCAAUACAGCAGCAGAAAUGCAAGAGAUAAAAGAGCAUACAUGAG